CUCCAUCCACUCAGCCAUUCUAGCCAGAUUGUUGGUAAACCUCUGUGGUAGCAUGUCAUGCCAAUCCAGUUCAUUUCUAGUGUUUACUUCUUAGUAUUUUUUUGUGUCACCAGUUUUCCCUAAGGAUCACCAUUCACCCAGCUGCCUGCUACGCCUGCAAUGCCUGCUAUGCCUGCUCUCUGCGCUUCCCUUUGUUAUCUGCCCAUCUCAGUUCCUCUACUUAAACCCCCGGAUUCUUAUUCCUCACCAUCUGUUCCAUAUCCUAAUGUGAUAUUGCCUGAAAUAGGAUGUAAAACACCAGAGGUCUCACCACUGAAGUCUCUGAGGAGAAGUCUCAAGAAAAAUGACUGUGGACAUGGUGCUAUUUAUGAGGUGAAGCUGAAGAGAACCAUUGCAGAAUAUCCACUCACAACACAAGAUCUUUAUCAUGUCAGUAAAUAACCUGCUUCCAUGGAUAACACAUUGCAACAGUUGCCCUCCUUAACCAGAACCACAUUGACCCUGCCUUUGAACACAGCACACCGAGAGCAGAUCUACAUGUAGAAAAGAACUAAGUGGGUGC